CUCCACUCUCAAAUUGUUUUUAUGAUUAUGAAAGUAACUAUAACUUACAGACAGUGGCAUAGAUUUAUACCCACUCGUUAUUUAAAGUUCACGAAAUGCCUUUAGCUCCCUGGAGAACAUGCACCAAAUAUGUAUAAAAUAAUAAUAAAAUAAUAAUAUGCCCAAGGAUAAACUGUGUUCCUAUGUUUUCAUACUGUGAGCAUCAUGGGCAUUUUACCGCACAGGUUGUUUAUAAAUGAGGCCCCCAGCUGUUCCUGAGAGACUCAGGCAGAAAAUGGGAGUAAACGGAGGAUAAUAAUCCUGAUUAUAAUAGGAAGCUGUUUCUAUAGUGACCCAGGGUGAGCUGCAUUCUCCCUCGGAGUAAACUGCUCAGUCAGUAGCUCCUGCAAAGUACCAUGUGGUAAAUUACCUCCUUCCAGGUACUAAAUGAUACCUUGAUGCCUUGGAAAAAUUAAUGGGUGAGUGGUUUACUUUGAGAGCAUUUUAUUCCCUCCGAGUCAACAUAGAAUUUGCCCAAUUAAGUUUUGGAGGGCAGAAUUUGCCCUAGAAAGAGCAGUUUAAAGGUUUAGAGCUAUCGAAGCAAUAUAAAAACUAGUCCCUGACGUAUAGUAAAGAUAGGACUUCGCACCAUGGGUAAGACUUUCAUUAUCAGCAGAGUUAUUGCAUUUCCCUCAGUGGCCAAAUGAAGGGGAAAGAAGGGCUGGGAGUUACUAUUAAAAUAUGAAAUACAGUAACUUUCUUUUUACAUUUAUUUACAGUCAACUAUCUCGUGGUCACUUCUGAAACAUGCCAAGUCAUUGGGCGGAUUACAGAGUCUCAUACGAGCCAGACUGUUGCCACAUCAGAGAGUUUCACACUGAAGAUUACAGCCAUGGCUUUCACCAAGCUGAAAAACAAGCUUUAACGUGAUGAUCCACACAAGACCAAACCUGAUGAGAAAUGUAGGGUGUUGCUAUGGCAAUUCCAUUCGUUGGAACUUUUCUCUGUUGGCUUCACUCUGACAUUACAUUCUAAAAAGAAUCGUAUGAAAAGGUGUGGUGGCUGUGAAGACAAACGCAAAGCCAAGAAGAUGGAACUUUCUUAUCUGUCUCCAAAGAGAGAAUGUCGUCAUAUCGUAAUGCCACCCUAAUGUAGUCGGAGGGCUGGCUUAGGAGGUGUCAUUCUGAGAUUUCAUUGAAACCCUGGGGUGUAUUUCUUUUUCACUUAAGUGGAAAAUUGGCGAUGCCAGAGUUAUUAGCAAAAUGACAA
rnacentral:lncRNA from 12 species